rnacentral:piRNA from 1 species
UCUUGAAAUCUAAACACAAGACAGAAG